GCGGAUGAUUAAAACAUUUUUAACCCUUAGCACUCGUGCUAUGAAGAAUAAAAAUGCAACACAACUCUAAUUUUUUCAUGACG
rnacentral:snoRNA from 1 species